rnacentral:rRNA from 1 species
CCUACGGGUGGCAGCAGUGAGGAAUAUUGGUCAAUGGACGAGAGUCUGAACCAGCCAAGUAGCGUGAAGGAUGACUGCCCUAUGGGUUGUAAACUUCUUUUAUAUGGGAAUAAAAUGUUCCACGUGUGGGAUUUUGUAUGUACCAUAUGAAUAAGGAUCGGCUAACUCCGUGCCAGCAGCCGCGGUAAUAUGGAGGAUCCGAGCGGUAUCCGGAUUUAUUGGGUUUAAAGGGAGCGUAGGUGGAUUGUUAAGUCAGUUGUGAAAGUUUGCGGCUCAACCGUAAAAUUGCAGUUGAAACUGGCAGUCUUGAGUACAGUAGAGGUGGGCGGAAUUCGUGGUGUAGCGGUGAAAUGCUUAGAUAUCACGAAGAACUCCGAUUGCGAAGGCAGUUCACUGGACUGCAACUGACACUGAGGCUCGAAAGUGUGGGUAUCAAACAGGAUUAGAUACCCUAGUAGUC